rnacentral:pre_miRNA from 1 species
AAUGUACUCUCUUCGUUCCGAUUUACUAGUCAGAAAAAUGGAUUUAUUUAGACAUACUUUAGUUCUACAUUUAUCUAUUUUUAUUCAUUUCUGCGACAAGUAAUUCUGGACGAAGAGACUACAUA